rnacentral:rRNA from 1 species
UACAGAGGGGGCAAGCGUUGUUCGGAAUUACUGGGCGUAAAGGGCGCGUAGGCGGCCUUCUAAGUCGAACGUGAAAUCCCUGGGCUCAACCCAGGAACUGCGUCCGAUACUGGAAGGCUUGAAUCCGGGAGAGGGAUGCGGAAUUCCAGGUGUAGCGGUGAAAUGCGUAGAUAUCAGGAGGAACACCGAUGGCGAAGGCAGGUCUCUGGGCCAUAACUGACGCUGAGAAGCGAAAGCAUGGGGAGCGAACAGG